CUGCAGCAUUCAUCAUCUUCUCUUACACCACUCUUUCUGGGGAAAGCCAGCUGCCUCAUCCUGGAAACACUCAAGUAGUCCCACGGAGAACCCCUGUGAAAAGCAGCUGAGGCCUGCCAACAAGAAACCAGGAAGGGAACCAUCCUGGAAUUGGAUCCUCAAGCUUCAGUCGAGCCUUCAGACAACUACAGCCCUAAGUGACUUCUGACUUCAACCUCAUGAAAGACUGAGUCAGAACCAUCCAGACCCACAGAAACUGCCCCAGAGAGUAGCUAUAGCUGGAGCGCUUCAGUGAAGAGCGGACGAUCGCAAAAUCGUAGACACUAAAGAUGGAAAAGACCUUCGAGGUCAUCUUGUCCACUCCUGUCAACUCAGUCCUGUUCCCCACAGCAAAUUCUCAGGGGCUUUCUACAGCCGACUUGUAAACGAUUCCGGCACCACUGGCCUGCCACUGUUCCCCUGGAGAGACCACUCCACUGUCUAAAAGACCUUUCUGUUAGGCAGCUCCUGGUUCCCUAACCUCAGCUCCCAGAACUGAAGGAGGCUGAGAGGUAGUUAUGAAGCCUGCCAAGCUGAAUGGCCACGUCAGCUUCCUCCCAAGAGGCUCAAAGUCCACCAAACACACUGCAUAUCAGGACAGGCGGCAGCAGAUUCAGGGCUAGAGACAAAAGUCCUUCCGAGAUCGAUUUUAUAAUCAAGCUCUAAGAUACAUCUCUAUGUGGUGGCCACGAUUCAACAAUUCUGUAAACCUAUCAAUGGCAAUAUCAAUGCAUAUGCAAAAAUACAUCUCAAAAGGGCUUUCUGCUAAAUAAUGUCUAGUGUCAUGAUUGAGGUCCUCAUGUCUCUUAUAAGCAUUUCCUCUCCUCAGAGGACUUUUGUGUUCCCUCAGUGUUUAUUUCUUUCAACUACAUUACAUGAGAACUUAGGGAAAUGAGUUAAAAGUUUUAUAUGUAUUUCUCUUAAACUUUCUGUUUUUCCCUUGUAAUUAGUUUCAUUUACUGGUUCUCCUAAAAUAAGUUGAGUAAAAUCCCCUCCAUAAUGAUAAUUCACCCUUUUGAAAGGGAAAGACAUUUUGGGUGACUUCUAGCUAUGUGGAGUGGAAGAUGCCCAUUUCUGUCACAGACCAACUAAGGAUAACCCUGAGUCUGGGAAGCAGAGCACUCCUGAUAUUGGCAUACAGGUCAACCUCUUUUCAUGGCUAUCUGCUCUAUAGAGCUUUGUAUUACAUGGUAGCUUCAACUAAGUAACAGGAAUCUGGUAAGUCCUAUUUUGCAGCUGAAAAAGCCAAGGCUCAGGGAUGUGGAACAAUUUACCCAAGGUCACAGAACAGAUGAAGGAACUGAAAUUUAAACCAAAGCUCUGAAUCCAAAGCCCAGUCUCCUUGCUCUUCAAAAAGACUGCCUCAAAGUAAUAAACAAGAGGGACAAAUAGAAGUCAAUUCCAUUUGUAUCAGUAAGUAUUUUAAACGUGAAUACUGGUCUAAGUGAACCAAAAAGGUGGCCUCUCCAUUAAUGCACAUUGGCUUGCACAUUAAAAAAUAUUCUUAUAUUAAUACUACAUAUGAGGAUUCAUUAUCUAGACAUUUUUUUUCCAUGUAAAGACACAUCAGAAAUCAAAAUUGCAGUCAAGGUUAAAAUGCAAUUUGAUGAAUAAAUUUUAACUCCAAAAUGUAUGUAGAGUAUAUAAUGAAUGGCAUGAAGGUAUAAAUUAGUAUACUAGAUAGGAUACCUGACUCACUUUCUUAAAAAUAAGCAAGGAUAUUUAUACUUCAAAAAAUAAGGGAUUUUCUGUAUUAAAAAGGAAUCCACCACUGUAAGAGUGAUGUAUAAGUAAAAACGCAACUCAAAACAUCAGAAUGCAAAUUGCAAAAAAAAAAAGGUAAAUUGUUUGCCCAAAACAAAGGAAUUCUUACAGAAGCAAGUUCACUGUGCAUUUGAAACAUUUAUUCAAUUUUACUUUCAAAGAAUUGCUAUGUUUUUUAAAAAGCACUACUAUGUAAAAUAUGGUUUACUAGUAUCUUUACUCCAUCAACUAACCACACAAGAAAAUAGCAAGAAGUUCAUCCAUAUUUAAAAUUAGCUGGGCUUCCCUGGUGGCUUAGUGGUAAAGAAUCUGCCUGCCAAUGCAGGAAACACAGCU